CCUACGGGUGGCAGCAGUGGGGAAUCUUGCACAAUGGACGAAAGCCUGAUGCAGCAACGCCGCGUGAGUGAAGAAGGGUUUCGGCUCGUAAAGCUCUGUCGGUAGGGAAGAAAGAUAGAGGUAGUAACUGGCAGUUACUUGACGGUACUUACUUAGAAAGUCACGGCUAACUACGGGCCAGCAGCCGCGGUAAUACGGAGGGGGCAAGCGUGGGCCGGAUUUGUUGGGGGUAAAGCGAGUGCAGGCGGUGUAGUAAGUCUGAAGGGAAAGCCGUGGGCUCAACCCGAGAACUGCGUUAGAAACUGGUGAACUUGAGUGCAGGAGAGGAGAGUGGAAUGCCAGGUGUAGCGGUGAAAUGCGUAGAUAUAAGGAAGAACACCAGUGGCGAAGGCGGCUAUCUGGACUGCAACUGACGCUGAGGCUCGAAAGCGUGGGUAGCGAACAGGAUUAGAUACCCGGGUAGUC
rnacentral:rRNA from 1 species